GGACUGGAUCAACGGCUUGACGAUAAGAAAGCUGUCUCUCUUUACUAAACUCUGAAGUUAGCUGGAUAGUGAAGAGACUCUCUUAGCAAAGCGGGACGAGAAGACCCCGUUGAGCUUUAGUAAAAAUCGUUUAUUAAAAACUUGAUUACUUGAGUUGGGGCAACUAUCUUUCUUUUUUAAAACAAAGAUAAAAAUGUUUUGAGUUGAUUCUUUUAUGACCCUUAAUCUUAGGACUAGUAGAAAAAGUUACCACGGGGAUAACAGCGUAAUUUUUUUUGAGAGUUCUUAUUGACAAAAAAGUUUGCGACCUCGAUGUUG
rnacentral:rRNA from 1 species